rnacentral:tRNA from 1 species
AUUUUAAUAGCUUAAUUUAGAGUAAAAUAUUGAAGAUAUUUAGGUGAAUUAAUUUCUUAAAAUA